rnacentral:tRNA from 1 species
CCAAGAAAGUUAAUUAUAACAUUUAGGUCGUGACCCUAAAAACAAGAAUUUUUUUCUUCCUGGCU